CAAUUGGAAUUGAAGAGUCAUUUUAAGACGCCUACAGGGUCAUUCUCGGAAUCAUAUUUUCCCAGCAGUUCUCAAGAAACCCAAGCGUUUUGAUUGUCCCCAAUUCAAGCCAAUCUAAUUGAUAAUCAUUGAAAUUGAUGGCACUAUCAUUCUCGGUAGCUAAAUGUGAUGGAAGAUGUUCUUAAACAACACAGUAAUCAACAACUUGAUUUGGAUUCCCCGUAGAGCAGAGGAAGCUGGUAUGUGCGAGCGGCGGCUAGGGUUUUGCCAUAUUUUAGGUGGAAUGGGGUCAGAGCAGGAUCUCCAUCCCGAUUGGGGUCAAACCAAUCGAAUUCUGGCUCUGCUAUGCUAACUCUAUUGGCUACAUGCGAUGUUAUUGGAUCGACAGGUAUUAUUUUCUUGUGUUUUCUCGCAGAGUGCUUCAGGAGUGCUGGAUUGACUUAACUCAAAUACAAGGAAGAUGAGCAAGAAGAACCCACUUGUAUACUUGGACGUGUCUAUAGAUGGAGAUCCUAUUGAAAGAAUGGUUUUUGAGUUUGCAUGAUGUAUAUUUACUUCUGAUCUGUCAUUUACAUACUCUUCUCAGGUACUGUUCUAAAACUGAUGAGAAUUUUCGGGCACUUUGUACUGGAGAAAAGGGGAAUGGUCAGAAGAAAACUGGAAGACCCUGCACUACAAGGGAUCCUUUUUCCAUCACAUAAUUAAAGGAUCUUUGGCUCAGGCAUAUGUCUAUUGGUGUUAUGUCAAACGGCUUGCGAAGUAGACAGCAACCAAGACUUGGAAUCCCAGAAAGAAGUGUCAUUCGUGGCUGGAAGCAUAUAUCUUCAUAAACAUGGAGAAGUUGACGGGUCAAAAGUACGCGUGCAGGUCGAUAUUGAAGAAAAAACUUGUGACGCAACCAACUCCUGGGGAUUAUGUAAUGCUUGCUUAUCACCAUUGAUGUGGGGAUUAACAACCAAAAACUAUUGCUUGAUGAGUUUUAUAUUGGUCUCACACAAAACAGGGCCACUCGAAAGGAGUAUUAUGACUUACUUGAAGAGUUAUGUCUGCAGUCAAGCAAAGCUAUGGUCAAAAAGUGUUUGUGCAGUGUCUCUUAAAACUUAGAUUUACCCAAUAGCUCAUAAAUGUACCUAUCAGCCAAAUAUAAAACCACUCAGUUGGCGUUCAGUGAUGAUAUUUAUAUUGUUGAUUGAUGAUUUUCUACUCAAACUCAACAACUUUCAUGUAGUUAGAUAACCUCAAUUUUACUCUACAGAACUAGGCAUUAGGCAUGGUAAACGGGUCGGGCCGGGCGGGUUUGAGAUGCGGGUCAGAAUGGGUAAUUCAAAAAAGGUUGGUUCAGUAAGGGUUACUUUUGUUCGGGUCGGGCUCGAGCGCUUAACCCAACGCUCGACUUGUGCGGUUCUGGGCUACGCUUGCACCGGGUUGCGACAUUGGAUUUGUUCAAAAGGUCUUAUCUUCUUCCAUCUCAAUUUAUUCAUUGAUAUGCGCAGAAAGAAACACACAGUUUUCCCCGGUUUGAAAAAUAAUACCAACCCAUGCUGACCCAUUUGAAAUAUAACACCGACCCAUUCUGACCCAUUUCAUUAGAAAGGGUUGUCUCCAUCAACCCACACUGGCCCAUUUCAAUUUAUGCCACCUUCUAAAUAGUUUUAUUCAAUAAUAUAUAUUUAUUUUUGUAAUGAUAUACUCUGUGGCCCCACCCGACCAGACCUGACUAACUUUAGUAAAUUUUUAGUGAAGAUUGUACCAAAGUUUUGAUUUCUUGGAAGCUUUUGAUUAAUAACCAAGAUGCAAUUUGAGUUUUGUAUCGGUGAGUUCGUCACCUGGAAGUGGAGACACAACAGUCAUCGAGGCAAGCGGCGUCCGAGGUGUCGAGCGAGACCUUAGGCAAGAGAUCAAAGAGGCAUUUGAGUUGUUUGAUAUUGAUGGGUCUGGUACCAUUGAUGCCAAGGAGUUGAAUGUUGCUAUCAGGUAUGAGUUUAAUGUAUGAAUACAGUUACUACAGGUGGGGACAUGGGUCGGGCGGGUUGCGUAAUGGGUCAAAACGGGUCAUUGUCGGAUACGGGUCGAAGCCAGUUGGGUUGAGCCGAAACAUUUUUUUGUUAGAAAUCUUUACAGUUUUAUAAUCUAUCUUCUUUGUUACAGGAGUAAUAUUAUUUCAGUAACAAUCUAUUUUCGGCCCGUUUUGUUUUAACUCGGUUUUUUUUAAUAGUAAAGCGUACUUCUAAUGCAUGCAACUUCAUAAUUGUUUUAUCAGAAAAACUUAAAUCAUUACCGGUUAACUCAACGACCUAAGUUUUCUUUCACUUUGAGCAAAAAGAAUGGAUUUAACAAACUAGGACGCUCAAGUCUUGCAAAUGAGGCUAUUAAAAUGGUAUUUCUGGUACAGAAAGAACAAAAAAAAAAAAGAGAAGUUAUUGCGUUAAUAACGCAAAAUUACAGCCACUUGACGAUGAGAUGAAGGUCAGUUCAAGUUUAAGUUAUGAAUGCUCGAGCUCGAGGUUGGCUGGUCGAUAAUUUUUCAAGUUCAACGUCGGCUCCACUUUGGCUUGUUUAUAAAUUAUAACUUUAUAUUAGAUUUUAAUUAGUUUUUAUAUAUAAUUUUGUUGUUUUUUAAUAACUUAUAUUAUAAUUAGUAAUUAUAACUAUUUAGUAAAAGUUAUAUAGAUUGUGGGCUCAAUUAGGUUCGUGGCCCAGAUUGUGGUAGAUAAGUGUCGCUCGGGCUUUACUAAACGAGCGUGUUUGUAUUUUUUAGGAUUCGAGUCGCGCUGUUUUAAGCUCGGCCUGGUUAAGCUUGUUUUCGAGCCGAGUUCGAGUAGGUCGGGUUGUUUGCACCACCUACUUAAAAACAACCUAAAUGAGUCCAAAAAAGCUGUAAAUAUAUUCAUGUUCACAAAUAAUCAUAAAAAAUAAGGUGGGUUAAGGGUGUACACUUCUACAUGGUUACAACGAAGAGUUCAGGAAGACGUUCAAGAAAGACAAUCGAAAUGUGAAAGUUGUUUCAGCUGUCGGGAAACCUGCUGGAGAGAAGUGGAAAUAUUUGAGUGCAGAUGUACGCAAAAUAUGGUUUUCGAUCUUUCAUAGUUUCAUAUAUAUGUCAUACUUUUUAACUUCUGUCAUUCAAUCAAGUAGUUAUGUAGUAAUCCUAUCAAUCAUUAAAUAUGUUUUUAUCACCCAGUUUGUUCGUGGCUAUUGAUCACAGGGACAUGCUGGGACAGUUAGCAUUUCUUCGCUGCAGACCCAAUGGUUGGUGCAGCUGAAUUAAGGAUUAUAAACGGGUCGGCAUGGUAUACGGAACCAUUUUUUGAUUUAUAUUCCCGUCUGUAUUGUCGACUCCGCUGCAACGCGCGGGCUCCCCACUAGUAAUAUAAAUACAUCAAUAUUGAUAAUAAAUAUAGUAUUUUGAACAUCAUAUUUAA